CCUGCCAACUUAUGAUCGUUUCAAGGUUAUUAAAGAAAAUAUGGAGCGUCUGAUAAAGAACACUAAUAUGAAUCCUCUGAGUCAUGCUGAAUACUUGAAAAUGCAAGUUUUGUACCAGAGAUUCUACGAUGUAGAUGACCAGUUGCAUGUUUUAAAUGGAUUGUCUGUUUCUGAUGUGAAGUCAUUUAUUCCAGAGCUUUGGUCCCAGCUUUACAUUGAAGGCCUUGGUCAUGGAAAUCUGUUAGAAGAAGAAGCAAUUAGCCUUUUGAAUAUGGUGAAAACAAUUUUUUCUGGACAACCACUUCCUACCGAACUGAUGCUUAAGAACAAAUGUAUUUGUCUCGCUCCUGAUGCUAACCUCAUUAGAGAUGUCAGUGUGAAGUAGAAGACUGAAACAAACUCUGUGAUUCAGCUAUAUUUUCAAAUUGAGCGGGCAGUGGGGAUUGACUCCACCAGAUUGAGAGCAUUAAUAGAUCUUUUUGAUGAAAUUAUAGUCGAACCACUUUACGAUCAACUAAGGACGAAGGAGCAGCUGGGAUAUGUUGUUCAGUGUGACUGGGAGGUGAUAUUUGGUGUUUUUGGCUUUUAUUUCAUAGUUCAGUCGUUGGAGUACAACCCAAUCUACUUGCAGCGGAGAGUUGACAACUUUAUCAAUGGUCUGGAAGACAUUUUGCAAGGACUGGAUGAUGUUUCCUUUGAGAAUUACAGAGGUGGGCUAAUGGCAAAGCUAUUGGUGAAAAAUUCAUCCCUUAUACAUGAAACGAUUAGAUUUUGGAAUCAGAUUAUUCAUAAAAGGUAUACAUUUGACUAUGCAAAGAGGGUGGCAGAAGAGCUCAGCAGUCUACAGAAGGACGAUGUUGUCAACUUUUACAAGACCUACUUGCAACAAUCAUCUCCCAAGCGUCGGAGACUUGGCAUUCGUGUUUGGGGUUGCAACACUGACUUGAAAGAAGCUGAAGAAUCGCGACCGGAGUCUGUGCAGGUCAUUGAAGACCUUGAAGCCUUUAAGAUGUCAUCUGAGUUCUAUCCUCACGGUUGUUGAACCAUUAAUAGAAGCAAUGAAGUUAUGAAGGCCUAAGUUCAAAUCCUUUCUCCUAGAUUCCUUCUGUGGGGUAUUAAUAUUGGUGUUACUCAGCUAAUUAAGGCUCAGCCAUGUGUGGUGUUGGUGUAGUUCUUUCCCCAGUUAAAGAGCAGAUUAGUAUGAUAUAUACAGGAGGGCUGUAAUGAAAAAUCCAAAA